AACGUAGGUACCGAGCGUUAUCCGGAUUUACUGGGCGUAAAGCGCGUUCAGGCGGUUUGACAAGUCGGGCAUGAAAUCCUUCGGCUCAACCGGGGGAGGUUGUCCGAUACUGUGAGACUAGAGGGCAGUAGAGGGUGGUGGAAUUCCGGGUGUAGUGGUGAAAUGCGUAGAGAGCCGGAGGAACACCAGUGGCGAAAGCGGCCACCUGGACUGCACCUGACGCUAAAACGCGAAAGCUAGGGGAGCGAACGGG
rnacentral:rRNA from 1 species